rnacentral:rRNA from 1 species
GACGAACGCUGGCGGCGUGCCUAACACAUGCAAGUCAAGGAGAACGGUUAGCUUCGGCUUUCUUAGUAAACUGGCGGACGGGUGAGUAACGCGUAGGCAACCUGCCCCUGUAACUGGGAUAACAUCGAGAAAUUGAUGCUAAUACCGGAUGACAUUUAAUAUGUGCAUGCAUAUAUAAUUAAAGGUGUCGCAAGUUACCGUACAGGGAUGGGCCUGCGUUCCAUUAGUUAGAUGGUGAGGUAACGGCUUACCAUGGCGACGAUGGAUAGCUGGUCUGAGAGGGUGAUCAGCCACACUGGGACUGAGAUACGGCCCAG